AGAGUUUGAUCAUGGCUCAGAACGAACGCUGGCGGCGCGCCUAAUACAUGCAAGUCGAGCGAGAAGACGUAGCAAUACGUUUGUAAAGCGGCGAACGGGUGAGGAAUACAUGGGUAACCUACCCUCGAGUGGGGAAUAACUAGCCGAAAGGUUAGCUAAUACCGCAUAUGACUCCUGGUCUGCGGAUCGGGAGGGAAAGCGAUACCGUGGGUAUCGCGCUCUUGGAUGGGCUCAUGUCCUAUCAGCUUGUUGGUGAGGUAAUGGCUCACCAAGGCUUCGACGGGUAGCUGGUCUGAGAGGACGAUCAGCCACACUGGCACUGCGACACGGGCCAGACUCCUACGGGAGGCAGCAGUAAGGAAUAUUGCGCAAUGGGCGACAGCCUGACGCAGCGACGCCGCGUGGGGGAUGAAGGUCUUCGGAUUGUAAACCCCUUUCGGCAGGGAAGAUGGAAUGGGUAACCAUUCGGACGGUACCUGCAGAAGCAGCCACGGCUAACUUCGUGCCAGCAGCCGCGGUAAUACGAAGGUGGCAAGCGUUGUUCGGAUUUACUGGGCGUACAGGGAGCGUAGGCGGUUGGGUAAGCCCUCCGUGAAAUCUCCGGGCCUAACCCGGAAAGUGCGGAGGGGACUGCUCGGCUAGAGGAUGGGAGAGGAGCGCGGAAUUCCCGGUGUAGCGGUGAAAUGCGUAGAGAUCGGGAGGAAGGCCGGUGGCGAAGGCGGCGCUCUGGAACAUUUCUGACGCUGAGGCUCGAAAGCGUGGGGAGCAAACAGGAUUAGAUACCCUGGUAGUCCACGCCU
rnacentral:rRNA from 1 species